GUCAUAUUCAAUCUGUGCUCACUUUCAUUUGUCAUUAUUGCCACAACAUCUAUCCACCACUAUCGAGGUUGAAGAAAGCUGUUCCUGAAAAUUGCACUUGUCAUUAGAGAGUUGUUCCAAAUUUUUGCGACUUCUGGACAAAAGAAUCAGCGGAGGCAGGACUGAUUCCGGAGCAGUAGAGCAUCGAGAACAACGUGGGUCAGCCUGAGAUGGUUUUCUAGAUUCUCUUUUCUCUAAAUUGUUCAUGGAGUAUUUUGAAGUUGGAUGGAAGAAGAGAUAUGCGAUUUGAUAGCCAGGUUUUGUAGAGUACUCACCGGAGCUAGUUUCAUGUUCCCAAAUCAUCCAUCAAUUGUUUUACCCAUAAUAAUUGUUGGUUGCCCAGCUCAUUUGAUGGAAAUCAGAAAGGGGGUUCAUCUCCGAACCAAGGAUCUUCACAUAGCUUCACCAUCCCUUGCGGAGAGAUUGGCCAUUUCAUGUCCUUUUUCAAAAUAUUUCUUCCCUCCAAGAGACUCUGCCAUGCCUAAGAUGGUCUAUUUUCUUUUUUUGCUUCAAGAAAAGAAGUUAGCCUAUAAUAUUUAUUUCUAAAGAUUUUGUAGAAUAGAGAAUGGGGCUUGAUUAAUAAUCUCCAUCCCUGUUUUGCCAACAUCACUAGAUUUAAAGUUUUUAGGUCUUUGAAUCCCAAAUUACCUUCCUGUUUAUUUCUGCUUAAUGUAUCCCAGCUGA